GAACUGGGGAUUCAGGGUGACCCAGAGAAACCUCAAGGCUGACUCGUAGAAACUGAAGUUAUGGAGGUAAUGUGGCUGCUUCUGGGGCAGAGAGAAAAGGGGAAGGUAUCCUGGCUUCUCGCUCCUUCCCACCAGGGGUUGAAUCCAGCUAGAGGUCAUUUGACACAGACCCUGGGAAAUGUGAUCUACACCAUUCCAGCUUCCUCCCUCUUCUGCAGAUCAGAGUAGAAGGGAAGAAGACAGGUCUUCAAGAGAAUCAAGAUGAAAAAAGUCCCAGAAAACCUGGAAAGAUGAAAGUAUAGCCCAAAGCCAAGAGCAAGAAAGGCGUCUCAGGCCAAGAUACAACAUGAUCCAAGGUUUAUAUAGAGGAAGUAUGCCUAGCCUGGUCACACGGUGAAGGCAUCGGUUUGGCCAAGCAGCACCUAACCUUGGCACCUCUGAAGCUAACGAUGGAAUCUUUGAAAAUGACAUUAGAAGCAAAACACAAACAGCAGAAGACAUGAAGCUACCUCGAGUCCAUCUGUUCAAGAGCAAUCCACUCAGAGCUCCCAUUUCCCAUGUAAAACAGAAGAUGUGAUUUAUAAUUUAUAUCUCACUGGUACAACCCUGAUUGAAGCAAAGCACUUUGAUGCAAUGUUGGUUUCAUGCUAGUGGAACACCAUUCCAAAUCAGAGAAUAUUUAGAACUCUAACUCCUCUGCUGCUACUUUGAAGUAGGAAGAUUUGUAUUUUAUGUGCUUUGCUGAAAAAAAAAAGGAAAAAAAUACCUACACUUCAACAUGCAUGUGGUGGAAAUGUGAAAACAUUCAUGUGUGAAUCAGCACCAAAAUGUAAUUACUGCACUAAGCGUUGAAAAUAUUUAUAGACUCAUAUCUCAUGCCGAAGACCUGGUUUCAAUAACUCUCAGAAAAUUGUGAAAUUCAUACUUUGUUUUCUUGGGACUAACCUAAUUUAUUUGAAAUCUGCAACAUAUGAAGGACAGAAUCAAAGAAUGUCAACUUUCCAUCACCUCAGCUAAUGAUCUAAUAAAGAUGCCAUGCAUGUGGGUUGUGUGUGCA